AACAUACUUCAUCCGUCCCAAAAUUCUUGUCUUAGAUUUAUCUAGAUACGGAUGUAUCUAGCACUAAAAUGUAAAUAGAUACAUCUGUAUGUAUACAAAUCUAAGACAACAAUUUUGAGACGGAUGGAGUAGAUU
rfam:Triticum aestivum genome assembly, contig: Triticum_aestivum_CS42_TGACv1_scaffold_499567_6BL